UACGGAGGGUGCAAACGUUGCUCGGAAUCAUUGGGCGUAAAGCGCACGUAGGCGGUUUCGCAAGUCGGAUGUGAAAGCCCACGGCUUAACCGUGGAAGUGCAUUCGAAACUACGAAGCUCGAGUACUGGAGAGGAUCGCGGAAUUCCCGGUGUAGAGGUGAAAUUCGUAGAUAUCGGGAGGAACACCAGUGGCGAAGGCGGCGAUCUGGACAGAUACUGACGCUGAGGUGCGAAAGCGUGGGGAGCAAACAGGAUUAGAUACCCUAGUAGU
rnacentral:rRNA from 1 species